CCUACGGGAGGCAGCAGUGAGGAAUAUUGGUCAAUGGACGCAAGUCUGAACCAGCCAUGCCGCGUGCAGGAAGACGGCUCUAUGAGUUGUAAACUGCUUUUGUACGGGGGUAAACGCAGGUACGUGUAUCUUUCUGAAAGUAUCGUACGAAUAAGGAUCGGCUAACUCCGUGCCAGCAGCCGCGGUAAUACGGAGGAUUCAAGCGUUAUCCGGAUUUAUUGGGUUUAAAGGGUGCGUAGGCGGUCGGAUAAGUUAGUGGUGAAAGCCCGCGGCUCAACUUCGGAAUUGCAUCUGAUACUGGUAGGCUAGAGUGCAGUUGAGGUAGGCGGAAUGCAUGGUGUAGCGGUGAAAUGCUUAGAGAUCACGCAGAACACCGAUUGCGAAGGCAGCUUACCAAGCUACCUCUGACGUUGAGGCACGAAAGCGUGGGGAGCAAACAGGAUUAGAUACCCCUGUAGUC
rnacentral:rRNA from 1 species